UACAAGCACUGCUGGUCUCCAGGAAAAGGAGCACUGUUGCGAAAUACGUACGGGGAACAAUGGGCAGAGUUGACGCGCGGUUGGACGGCUGUUCCCCGCCGGCGAGGUGUUCCAUGGAUCAGAAUCCGAGUCGCCAUCUGAUCCGUGGAUCAAGAAUAUCACUCUACGGUGGGGUUGCUCCGCCAUCGAAUUGAAUGUAGGUUCCAGCAUCUUCUCAUCCAAAAAGCGAGUGGCGUUGUGAAGGCGACGACCGCGAGUUAGAGGCCGGGAGCGGCGGCGGCGGCGAUCGACCCUGGAAUUCUUGAUGUAGCCCAUCGGCAGAUCUGCUGGAGAGGAGGCUGGAGAGAGUUUGGUGCCUGCCCCGGUAGUUGCGAAUGGCGGCCUGCUGGUGGACCAGGCGGUGGCGGAGCCGGCGCUCGUGGAGCCGGCGGUGGUGGACUGGUGGUGCAGGAAAAGGAUGCUAAGAGCAGAGAUGCGCAGAUCUUGUCGGGGAAAAGGUAGAACUCCCCUCUUACGUCUGAACUAUCGACUGGGAAGAUGAAUUCCCAAGCACCCGGAUGGAAUAAGAGGACAGUGCAGAAGCUUGAUUGUGUGUAAUUCAUAGAUUUUAGUGUACAACUGAAGAACGCAGACACCUAUGGUGACAUGGGUUCAGAUAAGAUAGUAUGAAGUGGAUGCAGGAAUGCAAGCUAAAAAGCAGGCGGAGAGAGAUGCAGAGGUCGCAAGAAGUAUCAACAUGAUGCAGAAAGGCAAGCUAAAGAGCAGGAGGAGAGAGAUGCAGAGCUCGCUAGGAAGUAUCAGGGAGAAAUUCAGCUGAAGGCAUUCCAAGAUGAACAGAGGGACAAUCAAAUUGCUAAGAUGUACCAAGACUUGUAUGAUGAGAAUGCGAAAGAUGAGCAGGUUGCAAGGGCUGCUGAAGUUGUAAAUGUCGGGGGGCCAAUUGAUGAUGUUAGUAUGGAACCAAGCCAAGCAUGUGAGCAGGUUCCAAUCCCUACUCGAGUUGUAAAUGUUGGAGGGGCAGAUCAUAAUGUUAGUAGUGAAUCAAGCCUAGGAGGUGCUGGCCAGCAAGGAGGGUGGUUCGGCUAAUUUGGAUGAAAGUAACAAUGGUCGGAGGUUGCAACUUGGCAGCUGGAAACUGGGCUGUGGCUCAUGCACUUUCCAGUAACAGCUUCGGUAGCCGGUCAACAUGAGCCGCAAAUGCCCGCGCUAAGCGCGAAUGGCCAGAUCUGUGCAAGGGAUGGUGGGUUGGAUGCUGGGCGGGAAGGUUCACUGCGGGCGUCGGAGCAUUUGGUUGGCAAACUGAACCCGAAAGCUCCUGGGUGGGACUCAGAGGUAUGGGGAGUUGCAUUUGUAUGAACUCACAAAAUCAGUGUCUGCAUUCUGAACUGAUAAGCGUGGUAUCCGCCAUGUGAGGGUUCUAGGUAUAUUGAUGUUAGCAUCUGUAGGAAAUUGUCAGUUGGGGCAGUAUUUUUAAGAUUGGUAUUUUAAGUUGAUGCAACAAUUGUUGGAGACGCAAUUCCAUGUACGAAAUUUCAAAAUUCAGAAAAACAGUCUGAAUGUUCAUGUAUGGAGCAGACUAGGUUGGUGAUUUUUGAAUGUAGUAAGCACUGGGUUCAGUACAUCACACGCCCCCGAUGUUGAUAUCAGAAUUAAAAUAAACUUUACAAAAAAUCAAGUAGCUAACAUUUUGCAGACAAUUUUGGCUCUGUUGUUUUUCAAUGAAUCGAUGAUAAUAUGUGUGUGCAGAAUUUAGCUAGGUAGGUCAGGCAUAAGUUUUUAGAUUGACACUUUAUUGUGAUACAACUAUCUUGCUAGACGUGUUUCCAUGUACGAAAUUAAGUCAUUCCGCAGAUUCAAGCUGAAUAAUGAUUUGUGGGCGUGGUUUAUGUUUUAGUUACUUUAAUGGCCUAAUUUUUCAUGCAAGAAUUCAGAAAAGGGAUUACGAGUAUCACUUAGCAAUCAUUUGAUGUACUCAUGUUGUGCUCCUUUCAUGUUUUGCUGCUUGCAGUGUCAAUGGGACAACAAUUCUGUUACUAGUCAAUGUGAUCCUUCUGAUGUUUUAGAUUGCAAGGAAAGAGAAGACAAUGGAACAUCAGACCAUUUCUGUGAAAGAAUAUAUGUUUUUCAUUAAAGAGAUUAAUGAACUGAAAGCCCAAACGAAACAAGAGUACUCCAAUAUGGCAGGAAGGCUGAAACUAGUGAGGCAUUCCAUCAAAAGGAUCACAUUGACUAGUAACAUAAGGCAUUUUGUAAAAAACAGCACCUUGUUCUUUUUCAGUUUGAAUUUCAUCAAUUUUCAUAGUGAGCCAUGUUCUAUUUUAUAGACUUUGAAGAAGGAAGCAAGUUUACUUUAUAAAAACCUGGAGUCCCUUGAUGAGAAUAGAAUAGAGGUUAAAAAAUAUUGUGAGGAUCAGAGAGCAGCUCUGUUAAAAUUAAAAGUUGAAUUGUAUGCUGCUAAUGAAAAUUAAAUGACAGGAUAAUUAGACCAGCCCUCCAUUGUUUUACCUAAACUGCAGGCCUGCUUUGGUUAUUGGGGUGACAUAGAAAUGGUCGAGAGGUACUGGCAAUGGAGGUGCACGUUCAGCUUCUUUCUCGUAUCUAUAGAUAUGGAAGACCUUGCUGGAAACACAGUGGUGGAGCUAGGCCGGCAUCAGGCUCCAUGCCACCUCAGGCCAUCUUCAAGCACUAUAGAUGUUAGUAAUCUAGAAUAGAAAUGAUAGUCCAAAGGAUUUUGUUGUCCAUGUCGGUUCGUGGAUCGGGAAACUUGCUUUCAGUGAACUACGACAGCAACCGAGUUAAUGCAUGGAUAGGGUAUGGGAUGCAAUUAUCUCCUACCUCAAGCGUGUGGAUCCUUCCAUUAGGGAGAGUGGUGGCCUCGACGGACAAACAUCUGUAGAAACAAGAAGAACAACCAUGCUGGAAGAGGUGACUGACAGCAACAUUCGGAUGGAGCCUCUGCACUACCCAGUCGUCGCACUGGUUGAGCAGCAGUUGGCGCCCAAGAGGGAAGUGAGUGCAGACAGGCAGAUCUGUGUGGCGGAGGCGGCGAUGAAUGCACAGGGGGGAGGGGUCACCUUAAGGAUCUGACCAGCAGAUUGACCUGAAAGCUCCUGGGUGGACGUGAAGAGUGAGGAUUGGUGCUGCCGAAUCAGGAAGGAUGCCGUGCCCUAAUCAAGCUACUGCACUUGAGAAGGCUAUUUACAGUUUUACGAAAAAUCCUGGAGACAAUGUGAUUGUUUCAAAACUGGGUACAAGCUUUGAUUUUGUCGUUGCAGUCCGAGCAGGGAAUCAGCGGCAAGAUAUCAUCGACAACGGGAGAUGAGGAAGAGGUAGACAUCAGGUAGUGGAAGAGCACUGUCGAUCUGGUUUCUUGUAAUGGACUGCAGAUGAGUGGUGGAUCUGGCCAGAGUUGGAUUUAGCCGGUGAGGCGAGGCGUGCACUGGAAGAUUAGUAACUUCCUUUUUUAGGGGAACUGGAAGAUUAGUAACUGCAACGGUGACAAUAAAUAAAGGUGGUCGUUAGCGACAGAUCCGCACGACUUCCCUCGAUGGCUCCCGCUGCGCGCGUGGCGGAACGGGAGAUGAGGAAGAGGUAGACAUCAGGUAGUGGAAGAGCACUGUCGAUCUGGUUUCUUGUAAUGGACUGCAGAUGAGUGGUGGAUCUGGCCAGAGUUGGAUUUAGCCGGUGAGGCGAGGCGUGCACUGGAAGAUUAGUAACUUCCUUUUUUAGGGGAACUGGAAGAUUAGUAACUGCAACGGUGACAAUAAAUAAAGGUGGUCGUUAGCGACAGAUCCGCACGACUUCCCUCGAUGGCUCCCGCUUCUCCCGUUCCGCCACGCGCGCGAUUUUCUGGCGAUCCCACCACUGC